CUGUUUUUUUGAGGUAUGAAGCCAAAGAGAAGGUCUGGUCCUGCUUACUGGAGUCAAGGGGCCUGGCAUGUUUUUUACGUUCGAUCAUGCCCAGGGCAAGACCUUGCUCCAGUCUUGGAAAGCACAAACGGUGAUGUAACUUCUCUCCACGGACUCUGAUCCCAGGAGAAUUCAGAGCACUCCAGUUUCACUGCCUGGGUCAUCUCCACGUGUCAUCUGCAACGUCCUCACCCAGGCACAGCUCUGCUGAGGCUGUACUCAGCAUUACAGUUGGCUGAUCCUUCUCUAUUCCUUCUCUCUGGCACAGAUCUGGACUCUUCUUCCUCUCCAUUCUACAUACAAGGAUUAAUUCGAUAUUGACCGCUUUCCCAGAGCGCCGUCCCCUUGCCAGUUCCGUGACUGAAGCCUACGACUUGAAAAGAAGAGGAACAUCUGGGCCAAGGAUUGCUCUGCAAGCGGUUGAGUCCCGGGGCCUAAUGAGGCACUGCUUAUCAACAGAGCGUGCUUAUCUGGAGCCCGCUGCCGGAGUACCUGCUCCAGCCCCAUCGUUUGUAGAGGACAUGCCCACCUUGGAGACCGGUUCCUGUCAAAAGCCACCACUCCAGCAGGAAACCCUCUGAAGAUGGUUCUUCUGCUGAAGUAAAGCAACUCUAGGAGAGUAAAAAUGCACCUCUGAGGCUGGUUUGCAGGGGAUGGCAAGGUCCGGAGUCCUACAAUAUUUAGAUUGCUGUGUGCACAUAAAACUGGUGCGCCUCAUUAAGGGAAGCAGCAUCCUCCUCUAGAAGGAGAGAUCAUAGGAGAUCAUUGCUAGCAUUCACCCCCCAGUAUUUGCCAAUGUGUUGCAACUGUUUCUGGGAGUGGGCAAGUGGAGUUGACCCCACAAUGAAGAUGUCAGGAGACAAGUUUAAGUUCUGGUCCUGCCUGUGGACUCAUAAACGAGGCUGCCGGGAACAGUGAAAUUUCCACACUGCCUCAGCAAAGGUUUAGUCCAAGUUUAUUGCUGAGAUUAAAAGACUGGAGAAUAUAAAUUGUAAAUGUGAUGACUUAAGAGCUCAUAAAUUCAGUAUACAACUCCAUUCCAGAGAGCCAGUGAGCAGUGGAGCCAUGCUGCCUUGGGUUCACAUGCUGCCCUGUGCUCAAACCCACGUUCUCUAAAGAGUCCUUCUGGAGGGGUAGUCACCCCUCCCUGGAAUCUAUUGAAGCAACAUUACCUGUUUGAGCUGCCAGAAUGGGAAAGAUGAACGUUUCUACUAAUCCACAGGUUCUUCUACCAGUUUUUUGCUUAUUCUACUUGUGUCCCCUUUCAUGGAGCUGGGUGACCUCUGAGAGCAGAGGGAUGAGGAGGGCUCUGUGAAGGAGUGGAAUGAUGGAGAGUUAGAAAACAUUCUGCCUCUAGAAUUAGUCUGGUCCACACCAGGGAUGCAGAUAGUAGGCUGUGAGCUGUAAUGGAAUCAGAGAGACACGAGCUCCGACGGCUGGCAUUGGUGCACAGCACGCGGGGACCGGCGCCGGCGCACACCUGGGCGCAGGUAAGGCUGCACUGGG